rnacentral:rRNA from 1 species
AAUAUUGGACAAUGGGGGGAACCCUGACCCAGCCAUGCCGCGUGUGUGAAGAAGGCCUUCGGAUUGUAAAGCACUUUAAGUUGGGAGGAAGAGUUGUAGGCUAAUACCCUGAAGUUUUGACUUUACCAACAGAAUAAGCACUGGCUAACCCUGGGCCAGCAGCCGCGGUAAUACAGAGGGUGCAAGCGUUAAUCGGAAUUACUGGGCGUAAAGCGCGCGUAGGUGGUUCAGUAAGAUGGGUGUGAAAUCCCCGGGCUUAACCUGGGAACUGCUUUCAUAACUGCUGAGCUAGAGUACGGUAGAGGGUAGUGGAAUUUCCUGUGUAGCGGUGAAAUGCGUAGAUAUAGGAAGGAACACCAGUGGCGAAGGCGACUACCUGGACUGAUACUGACACUGAGGUGCGAAAGCGUGGGGAGCAAACA